rnacentral:rRNA from 1 species
GCACAAGCAGCGGAGCGUGUGGUUUAAUUCGUUGCUACACGAAGAACCUUACCUGGGUUUGACAUAUAGGUUGUAGGGAACUGAAAAGGGACCGACCCUUCGGGAGCCUAUACAGGUGUUGCAUGGCUGUCGUCAGCUCGUGUCGUGAGAUGUUCGGUUAAGUCCGCUAACGAGCGCAACCCUCGUCGUAUGUUAUAUGUGUCAUACGAGACUGCCGGUAAAAAGCCGGAGGAAGGUGAGGAUGAUGUCAAGUCAGCAUGACCUUUAUAUCCAGGGCUACACACACGCUACAAUGGUCUGUACAAUGGGUAGCCAAGCCGCGAGGCGGAGCCAAUCCUGAAAGCAGGCCUCAGCUCAGAUUGCAGUCUGCAACUCGACUGCAUGAAGCCGGAGUUGCUAGUAACCGCAGGUCAGCAAUACUGCGGUGAAUACGUUCCCGGGUCUU